AUCCCGGGCAGAACGUCUGAUUCUUGGAAAGCCAAUAUGGAAGAUUUGUGGGAUGUUUCGCUGAUAAAUACCUUUUUAAUUUAAACUCCGGAGGUGUUUUAAUAGUAGCUUUCCAUACAUUU